UACGUAGGGUCCGAGCGUUAAUCGGAAUUACUGGGCGUAAAGGGUUCGUAGGUGGCCUGCUAAGUCAGACGUGAAAUCCCUCAGCUUAACUGGGGAACUGCGUCUGAUACUGGAAGGCUUGAGUGCAGGAGAGGAACGCGGAAUUCCAGGUGUAGCGGUGAAAUGCGUAGAUAUCUGGAGGAAUACCGGUGGCGAAGGCGGCAUCCUGGACCGACAUUGACGCUGAACGGCGAAAGCUAGGGGAGCAAACGGG
rnacentral:rRNA from 1 species